GGGCAGCGAACAUGGCCAGCGAGGCCCUCAGAGGUCCGUUUUCUGCCAUAACGACCCCGUUGGACCCCGUAGGUGUCCUCGGACCGUCAAAUGGAGCAACAGAGCUACACCGCUGUUGAGGAACGAGGUAACGUUCUUCUCGCAACCUGCGUCUGGCUGGAUACGGCACGACGUGAGGUGGGACGAAACAUUUGAUGAUGACAACGAUGAUCGUAAUAACGCAGACACGACGUUUGAUCCUCCCACCGAGGGCGGUAUUACCCGAUUACGUGAGCGGUAGUCCUUCUCGGCAGCUUCCUCAAAAUCGACAAGCUCUUACCCAUCGAGGGCACGGUCACGAUACAGAAGGUAUCAAAGAGUACCCCGUAGCGGUCCAACUCCAUCCGAACCCCUCCGCACCUUGGAAUUCCUCACGAAGCCGCCGAGGGCCUCGCGGGUUACUGCACUCCGGCCUAGAUGCUGGGGUCCCUGGUUGCGACCACCGUCUCGGGGAAUCUCUCGCUUUCGCUCCCUCGACCUCUCCAUCUGUAAAGAGCCUACGGGGGACCAGAUCUUGCUGAGGGAGGAGCCGUUCCCCGAGUGUAAAAUAGAUUAGUAGUACUGUCCGUCCUCCACCGCCUCUUCUCAACAGCUGCUCUGUUCUUCCCUCAGUCCCUCCCCCCAUCUUGCCUGGAUCAAUUGGUCCUUUAACUGGGGCGGAGAAGCGGGCCUGCAAUCCAGCUGAUGGGAAGUGGCAUGGCUGCAGGGCAUGAAGGGGUAGAGGGGGAAGAUUUGAAUUGAAGGCGAAAGAACAAAAUUAAAAAAAACAGUGCUAUA